UCUCCACAAUGACACACAAAACCCCCACAAUGACACAGAAAACCUCGACAAACCUCCACAAAUUCACAAAAAAACGUCCACAAAUACACACAAAACCUCCGCAAAUUUACUCAAACCUUCACAAAUUCACCAAAAAAACGCACAAAUACACACAAAACCUCCACAAAUCCACUCAAACCUCCACAAAUUCACCAAAAAAACCCACACAAAACCUGCACAAAGAGACGUGAAACUACCACUGCUCUUCUUUCUCAUCUUGCAGGUGAUGGACGGUUGACAGGAUGAAUCACCAAGACGAGCCAAACAAUGGCGAGGGGCCGCCACAGGAGCCUGAAGGCAAAGUAACGAGAGCAGCCAGGAGCUGAAAGCGUGGGCAGAGGAACAGGCUGCUGAGGACGAGUUGGACGACGGUUUCCUAAACUGAAUCCUGAUUUCCUGUAAUCGAGUUUUGUGGACUGACAGUUUGCAUGUUUACAGAUUAGAAGCCAAGAAGUUGAAUAGUUGUCAUCAAAUCCUAGUUUGAUGGGAGGAUAUUGCUGCAUCCAGUCAGUGAAUGCUGGAGGGACAGCGUAACAUCACGCCUCUGUGUUUUCACCUUGUGGAUACACGACUCGAACAGAAGACAAAACAAUAACCCUGCACUUUUUCAGUCUCCACGCUGGUUCUAAACAUCAACAUAUAGCUGAAAAGAAAUUCAAACAAAUGGAUCAAUAUAUUACAAUGUUUCGAGGAAUAUAAGACAUUAACAUCCUGUCAUACUGUUCAGUGAGGAACUGGUCUUCUGCAAUAUUCUACUUUCUCUGACGUGUUGGCGAAAACAUGAGAAGCAUCACUGUGAUGUCUCAAGAUGUCGUGUGAGCUUUGACUGUCUGAGGUGGUCCAGUAUUGAAACAAAUAAAACAUGAGUCCAGAUGA